rnacentral:lncRNA from 1 species
GGAUCACUUGAGGUCAGGAGUUCGGGACCAGCCUGGACAACAUAGUAAAACCCCCUCUGUACUAAAAAUACAAAAAUUAGCCGGGUGUGGUGGCAUGUGCCUGUAGUCUCAGCUACUCGGGAGGCUGAGGCAGGAGAAUCGCUUGAACCCAGGAGGCAGAGGUUGCAGUGAGCCGAAAUUGUGCCCCUGCACUUCAACCUGGGCAAGGGAGCCAGACUCCCAUCUCAAAAAAAAAAAAAAAGAGAAGUCUUGGGAAGGAGGACAGUGGAGACACACAGGGAAUGAUCCAACUGAAGUAAGCUUCAGCACUCAGUAAGUGUCCAGCUCUGUUCUUUCCACAGACUGCCUCCUUCAAUUUUCAGCCAGUUUUGUGGCUAGGUGUUAACCCCAUUUUACAGGUGGGAGACAUUGAGGCUGACUGAUGAGGUUAGUUUCUCAGCCACCCUUCUAAGAUCUAAGUCCACUUUUGAGCAAGUGCUCUGAAUAACAAUAAUUAUCUUACAGCUUAAUGUACGAUUAUUAAAUACCACUCCCCUUUCAUUUUACCAUUGAGGCUUAUGUCUUUAUUGGUUGUUCAAGUAGGGCAAAGGAAAUGGCCUUUUAAAACUCAGAGGCCAGGUACUGUGGCCCUUGCCUGUAAUCCCAGAACUUUGGGAGGUAGAUGUAGUGGAUCACUUGAGGCCAGGAGUUAGAGACCAGCCUGGGCAACAUAGUGAGAUCCCGUCUCUAUUUUUUUUUUCUUUGAGACGGAGUCUUGCUCUGUCAUUCAGGCUGGAGUGCAGUAGCGCCAUCUCAGCUCAUUAUAACCUCCGCCUACCAGGUUCAAGCGAUUCUCCUGCCUCAGCCUCCCCAGUAGCUGGGAUCACAGGCAUCUACCACCACGCUGGCUAAUUUUUUGUACUUUUAGUAGAGAUGGGGUUUCACCAUGUUGGUCAGGUUGGUCUGAACUCCUGACAUCCAGUGAUCCAUCCACCUUGACCUCCCAAAGUGACAUUACAGGCGUGAGCCAGUGUACCCGGCCUU